GCGACGUGAUCAGAUGACCUGUGCGGGCGGCAGCCUCCUGCCCUCCUCCCCUUCGUGCGCCGGCUGGAGCGAAGAGUUCUUUUGACAGCCGUGAGCUUCCCCGCCAGGAACUUACUGGGGCUGCAUCACCCUAGAAACGUGGCUUUGGGCUGUGGAAACGCUGCCUCUGUGGAAGUCUCUCCUCGCGGGGGUGGACGGGUCGCUGCGCGCCCAGCGUUCUUCUGCGGUUCUCACAGCCCGCCGCCGCCGCCGCCUCGGGGACCUUUGCGGGGAGGCCUCAGGCUGGAGUAUAGUGGCAUGAUCAUAGAUCACUGCAGCCUCAAACUCCUGGGCUCAAGCGAUCCUCCCACCUCAGCCUCCAUAUAGCUGGUGGGGACCAAGUUUCUAACACAUGAAUGUUGGGAGACACAUUCAGACCAUCGCAGUGGCCUUAUAAAAAGAGACACAAGAGCUUGCUCUCUGCCAUGUGAGAAUACCACAAGAAGACUGUCCUCAGCAAAUCAGAAAGCGGGUGGACCCUCAUCAGACACCAGAUGUGCCUGCACCUUGAUCUUGGACUUGCCAGCCUUCAGAACAGUAAGAAAGAAAUGUGUGUUGUUUAAGCCACCCAGUCUAUGGUAACUUGCUAUAGCAGCCCACUAGGAGACCCCAAGAUAUUUAAAAACUCAUCAGCACCUGCUUUCUGCAUCUGGACCCUGAUCUUCUGGUGGGUUUACCAGUUACUUGUAGAGUGUCCCUGUGAUAGUUUUAGGUGUCAACUUGACAGGAUUGAGGGAUGCCUAGAUGGCUGGGGAAGCACUGUUUCUGAGAAGGACCAUGUUUUUGGAGGAGACUGUUUUAUGAGUGAAUUUCAGGGGACACAUUCAGAUCAUGGCAGUGGCAUUAUAAAGAGAGACACAAAAGCUUGCUCUCUCUCUCUGCCAUGUAAGACUACCACACAAAGACUGCCAUCUGCAAACCAGAAGCAGGUGGGCUUUCCUCAGACACCAGAUCUGCCUGCACCUUGAUCUUGGACUUGCCAUGCCACCGGCUUCUCUGAUUCUCCAGCUUGCAGAUGGUAUAUUGUGACCCUGGCAUUUAAUAACUAUGACUUUGGUCUUAAGCAAUUUUCUUCCUCUGUGGAUUGAUAUUUACAUAUCAAUGUGGAUAAUAAUUUCUUACCACGGUAACUGUUGUGAGGUAAAAAUGAGUUAACAUAAGUAAAACCGAGCACAUGCAAACCAUCCGAAAUGGUUAAUACUUACUAUUUGUACUUGAAGAAAUAAAUGUUUUUGACAAUAAACUUCUUGUGCAGUUUUCC
rnacentral:lncRNA from 1 species